rnacentral:pre_miRNA from 1 species
AAAAAGACAAACCCUGGGUUUCCGUGUCCAACUUUGACUGUCCGUCUCAUAUGAAAUUUUUUUAUAAUUCGUAUUUUCGUUGUUGUUAGAUGAUAAAAUAUGAUUAAUAUGCGUGACUUGUCUUUUUUUUUUAAUAUUUUUUUCAAAUAAGACGGACGGUCAAACGUUGGGCACAAAAACC